rnacentral:snoRNA from 1 species
UUGCUUAAGGGAAGAAUGAUGUCCCAGAUAUGAGACUUCCAUCCUUUUCACUUUGUCAGCACUGUCUUUUUUUGUUUCCGGUGCUGAUCAUUGUUGGGUGGUACAUAU